rnacentral:lncRNA from 1 species
UUGUUGAAAUGUCCCACAUCGACCGUAUCAAUGACAAAAGAAGAGUUUAAAUAUCCUAACCCCACUCUAACUAAUACCGAGGCCUUUUGUGAUAAAACCCCACACCUGACGGAUUGUACAGGUGGUAAUUACCAAGUUGGGGACAAUAUCGGUGUUGUUGGAAGUGGGUCGUAUGGCCCGUCUCUCUGAUAAUUCUACAUGGUAUCAGAGCCAGGGAGCGGGCCCGUACUGUACUGCCACGUGAUGGGUGGGUCCCCUUGGCCCCGCGCGAUGAUGGUGGGUCCCUUGGCCCCGCGCGAUGAUGGUGGGUCCCUUGGCCCCGCGUGUAGGGUGAGCCCCCUUGGCUCCACGUGGUUGUCGAUGUGUGGAUCUCCUACGUGUGACCUGCUAAUUGGGUCCCACGUGAGGGGGCGUGUUGAAAUGUCCCACAUCGACCGUAUCAAUGACAAAAGAAGAGUUUAAAUAUCCUAACCCCACUCUAACUAAUACCGAGGCCUUUUGUGAUAAAACCCCACACCUGACGGAUUGUACAGGUGGUAAUUACCAAGUUGGGGACAAUAUCGGUGUUGUUGGAAGUGGGUCGUAUGGCCCGUCUCUCUGAUAAUUCUACAAAACUAACCGUAGGGGGCAAAUCGGCUAAAAAAAUUAGUUUGAGUCUUAAUUUUCCAAUACAAAAGUUCAAGGGGUAAAUUGAUAGUUUACUCUAAAAUUUAAUGUAUUGACUUUCAUUAUAUUUUACGUGCGCAUGCGGUAAUUAAUUAAUUGAAUUUUUUUAUUAAAACGUAUUUAAAAAUAAUAAACUUACUAAUCGCACGCAGUAUAUGACACACCCCGACCGAGAUCGAGGCAUGCUGGCCAUCACGUGAGUGUGACGUAGCCAUGUGCACAGUGCAGAAGCAAUAAUGAUAAUAGAGAGUACGAAUAAAUGAAAACCAACUCAUAAGAGUACUAGUUAAGACAAGUGCUAGAAUAUGUGUGAAUACACAAUCAGAGCGUAAGUAGCAUAAGUUCAGUCCAGAAAACAAGUACUAGUUAAACGAAACCCAAAGAUGCCCUACAUUUGUGAUAACCUGUUGAUGCGAAAAUUAUCUUAACACACAAAUUUAACCCUCUUUUGACAAUUGUAGUACAAGUAUAAGUAGGGAUCGUUCUGGACCGGGGAUUAGGAGGGCUUGCUAAUAACCUCUAAACUGACUCAAAAACAUAAAACUAAACUUAAAAACACUUAACAAGACUCACAAGACUUAAAGCAAACUUAAAAUACUCAAAACAGCUUAAAACAACUAAAUAAACUUAAACUAGACACUAGGAAUGACUCUGGACAAAAAUUGACUUUUACUUGAAUCAAAACACUUAAAAAUACAAACUAAAAUAGAUUUGAAACACUUUGAAACAAGAAACUAAAUGGGGGGUUUUGAUUUGGAUGAAAUUGAAACAAACAAACAAGUAUGAAAAACUAGACAGAUUGUAAAACAAAUUUGAGAAAUAAGAUGAUGGAUGGGAUAGCUAGAGGCUUUUUCUCCACAUAUGACAUGUAUGCAAAUAAUUCGAUUUCCAGUUACUACUUCAUUGAAUUAUGAACGACAAUGCUCCAAAUUAACCGUGACAUCACCAGUUAACUCUAAGAUUUUCCUUGUUUUAUUGGAUUGGAUGACAUCAUUCGACAACCCAAAACAUUCUUCUAAAGUUCCCUACAUGACAUCAUAAUAGAGAUACAAUCAAAGCUCAUUACGUUUAAUGAAAAUCAUAAGCAUUGACAAAGCACUUGCAACUAUGACAUCAUGUCACUCAUG